rnacentral:misc_RNA from 1 species
GAAAUGCGAUAAGUAAUGUGAAUUGCAGAAUUCCGUGAAUCAUCGAAUCUUUGAACGCACAUUGCGCCCUCUGGCAUUCCGGGGGGCAUGCCUGUCCGAGCGUCAUUACGCACCCUCAAGCCCGGCUUGUGUGAUGGGCCCUGGCGUCUCGUUCGCGAGACGGGCCCGAAAGGCAGCGGCGGCGUUCGCGUCUCAGCGAUCAGCCCGAGCGUAUGGGGCUCUGUCACACGCUCGCGGUGGUUGGACCGACGUCACGUCCGGCUCUCGAGUUCUUCUCUCUCUCAGGUUGACCUCGGAUCAGGUAGGGAUACCCGCUGAACUUAAGC